CUUGAGGAGUGGCUUCCGGAGCUAACGCGUUAAGUGACCGCCUGGGGAGUACGGCCGCAAGGUUAAAACUCAAAUGAAUUGACGGGGGCCCGCACAAGCGGUGGAGCAUGUGGUUUAAUUCGAUGCAACGCGAAGAACCUUACCUACUCUUGACAUCCACGGAAUUCGGCAGAGAUGCCUUAGUGCCUUCGGGAACCGUGAGACAGGUGCUGCAUGGCUGUCGUCAGCUCGUGUUGUGAAAUGUUGGGUUAAGUCCCGCAACGAGCGCAACCCUUAUCCUUUGUUGCCAGCGAGUCAUGUCGGGAACUCAAAGGAGACUGCCGGUGAUAAACCGGAGGAAGGUGGGGAUGACGUCAAGUCAUCAUGGCCCUUACGAGUAGGGCUACACACGUGCUACAAUGGCGCAUACAAAGAGAAGCGACCUCGCGAGAGCAAGCGGACCUCACAAAGUGCGUCGUAGUCCGGAUCGGAGUCUGCAACUCGACUCCGUGAAGUCGGAAUCGCUAGUAAUCGUGGAUCAGAAUGCCACGGUGAAUACGUUCCCGGGCCUUGUACACACCGCCCGUCACACCAUGGGAGUGGGUUGCAAAUAAUUAGGUAGCUUAACCUUCGGGAGGGCGCUUACCACUUUUUGAUUUCAUGACUGGGGUGAAUUC
rnacentral:rRNA from 1 species